GUAACAGUUUCUCAGGGGAAAAUCUACUGUCCAUAGUUGUCACAGAAGCCACUCCCUGCUGAGAAGGUGCCUCCAAGGGAGGUGAAAGGAAUAUAAAUGAGAGAGAGAAAAAGAUGAGCACAGAUGUCAUAUGACCUCUGCGGCAUCCCUGCACUGUUGCAGAUUCAACUGAGCGUUUCUGGGUUUGUUUUUAGUUUGUUGUUUUUGACUGCAUGAGUGACACCUUCUCUUGUCAUGUAAAGUCUGGCUACCCUUUCCUCUCGUGGAACUGGUUUUACAGCUGGAGAAGUCAGCAAAGACAAACAG
rnacentral:lncRNA from 12 species